rnacentral:rRNA from 1 species
CCGUACCUGAGUAGGGUGAUCGGCUACACUGGGACUGAGAACACGGCCCUAAACUCCUACGGGAGGCAGCAUCUAGGGAAUCUUCCGCAAUUGACGAAA